UCCCCUAGGGCUCAUCUAAGACCUAAGAUGGCGGCGUUUGCAUGGGAUGUAAGCGCUGCAGGCGUACCAGGUAUGGAAAGGCGGCCAAAGGACGAAUCUACUAAGGAGUGUCCAAGAACUCGCCGAUAUUUGUGUUGUGAUUUUUAAAAACUUCAAACAGUACAGUCGAAGCCCCCUCUUCAUCACACGCCACAAGCCUGUCUAUUCCCUGAGAAACAACAACAAUGAAGUUAGGCCAGUGGAUAUCCCUACAGUGGCCUCUAAGUGUUCAAGUGGAAGGAAGACUCGCACAUCUCUCACUUUAAAUCAAAAGCUAGAAAUGAUUAAGCUUAGUGGGGAAGGCAUGUUGAAUGCCUACACAGGCCAAAAACUAGGCCUUUUGUGCCAGUUAGCCAAAUUGUGAAUACAAAGGAAAAAUUCUUGAAGGAAAUGAAAAGUGCUUCUCCAGUGAACACAUAAAUGAUAAGAAAGCAAAACAGCCUUAUUGCUGAUACUGAGACAGUUUUAGCAGUCUGAAUAGACGAACAGACCAGCCUCAACAUUCCCUUAAGCCAAAGCCUAAUCCAGGGCAAGGCCCUAGCUCUCCAAUUCUAUGAAGGUUGACAGAGAUGAGGAAGCUGCAGAAGAAAAGUUUGAAGCUAGCAGAGGUUCGUUCAUGAAGUUUAAGGAAAGAAGCCAUCUCCAUAACAUAAAAAUGCAAGGUGAAGGAAUAAGUGCUGAUGUAGAAGCUGCAGCAAAUUAUUCAGAAGAUCUAACUAAGAUAAUUAAUGAAGGUGGCCACACUAAACAACAGAUCUUCAAUGUAGACAAAACAGCCUUCUAUUGGAAGAAGUGCAUCUAGGACAUUCAUAGCUACAGAGGAGAAGUCAAUUCCUGGCUUCAGAGGACAGGCUGACUCUCUUGUCAGGCUAAUGCAACUGGUAACUUUGAGUUCAAGCCAGUUGUCAUUUACCAUUCUGAAAAUCCUAGGGUUCUUAAUAAUUAUGCUAAAUCUACUCUGCCUGUGCUCCGCAAAUGGAGCAACAAAGCCUGGAUGAGAGCACAGCUGCUUACAACAUGGUUUACUGAAUAUUUUCAGCCUACUGUUGAUACCCACUGCUCAGCAAAAAGAGAUUCCUUUCAAAAUAUUGCUGCUCAUUGACAAUGCAUCUGGUCACUCAAGAGCCCUGGUGGAGAUGUACAACGAGAUUAAUGUUGUUUUUAUGCCUGCUAACACAUCAUCCAUUCUGCAUCCUGUUGGUUAAGGAGCA